AACGAACGCUGGCGGCAGGCUUAACACAUGCAAGUCGAGCGCCCCGCAAGGGGAGCGGCAGACGGGUGAGUAACGCGUGGGAAUCUACCCAUCUCUACGGAAUAACGCAUGGAAACGUGUGCUAAUACCGUAUACGUCCUUCGGGAGAAAGAUUUAUCGGAGAUGGAUGAGCCCGCGUUGGAUUAGCUAGUUGGUGGGGUAAAGGCCUACCAAGGCGGCGACCCAUAGCUGGUCUGAGAGGAUGAUCAGCCACACUGGGACUGAGACACGGCCCAGACUCCUACGGGAGGCAGCAGUGGGGAAUAUUGGACAAUGGGCGCAAGCCUGAUCCAGCCAUGCCGCGUGAGUGAUGAAGGCCCUAGGGUUGUAAAGCUCUUUCACCGGUGAAGAUAAUGACGGUAACCGGAGAAGAAGCCCCGGCUAACUUCGUGCCAGCCGCCGCCGUAAAAC
rnacentral:rRNA from 1 species